rnacentral:antisense_RNA from 1 species
AUCAAUGGUGAACUGAGGAGGGCAGCCGUAAGGCUGGCCGUAUGAUGAUCCCGGUAGUGCUAACCCUAUUCAGUUCACCACCAGC